ACGAACGCUGGCGGCGUGCCUAAUACAUGCAAGUUGAGCGCUGAAGGUUGGUACUUGUACCAACUGGAUGAGCAGCGAACGGGUGAGUAACGCGUGGGGAAUCUGCCUUUUAUCGGGGGACAACAUUUGGAAACGAAUGCUAAUACCGCAUAAAAACUUUAAACACAAGUUUUAAGUUUGAAAGAUGCAAUUGCAUCACUCAAAGAUGAUCCCGCGUUGUAUUAGCUAGUUGGUGAGGUAAAGGCUCACCAAGGCGAUGAUACAUAGCCGACCUGAGAGGGUGAUCGGCCACAUUGGGACUGAGACACGGCCCAAACUCCUACGGGAGGCAGCAGUAGGGAAUCUUCGGCAAUGGACGAAAGUCUGACCGAGCAACGCCGCGUGAGUGAAGAAGGUUUUCGGAUCGUAAAACUCUGUUGGUAGAGAAGAACGUUGGUGAGAGUGGAAAGCUCAUCAAGUGACGGUAACUACCCAGAAAGGGACGGCUAACUACGUG
rnacentral:rRNA from 1 species